rnacentral:rRNA from 1 species
ACAGCAGCCGCGGUAAUACGGAGGGUGCAAGCGUUGUUCGGAAUUACUGGGCGUAAAGGGCGCGUAGGUGGUUGUGUAAGUCAGAUGUGAAAUCCCGAGGCUCAACUUCGGAACUGCAUCUGAUACUGCAUGACUCGAGUGCAGCAGAGGGAAACGGAAUUCCUGGUGUAGAGGUGAAAUUCGUAGAUAUCAGGAGGAACACCGGUGGCGAAGGCGGUUUCCUGGGCUGACACUGACACUGAGGCGCGAAAGCGUGGGUAGCAAACAGGAUUAGAUACCCUGGUAGUCCACGCCGUAAACGGUGAAUACUGGGUGUGGGAGGUGUAAUGCCUUCUGUGCCGAAGCUAACGCGUUAAGUAUUCCGCCUGGGGAGUACGGCCGCAAGGUUGAAACUUAAAGGAAUUGGCGGGGGAU